rnacentral:tRNA from 1 species
GGCGGCGUAGCCAAGUGGUAAGGCGGAGGUCUGCAAAACCUCUAUUCACCGGUUCAAAUCCGGUCGCCGCCU